rnacentral:lncRNA from 1 species
UCUCAUGUUGUUGCUUUUAUCAUUAUGAAUUCCUUGCUUGUUGCCACCUAAGAUACGAUGGAGCAAGCACAAUCUUAAAGAAGAUUUGCUGAUUUUUUGUUUUUCUCAGCAGACCAGAGACAUCCAUAAAAAUUCAUCAGAGAGCAUUUUACUACUGAGCUGCAAAGGGAAAAACUUAAAAUGGAUAUGAAAAGUGAAGAAAGUGAUCAUAGGAGAAAACCAUUUCAGAUGACAAGAGCACCUCAAAGGCAGCAGCCUCAAGGAGCAGCCAUGGCCCCAGACUUGUCGCACGGAUGCAGAAAACUUAAUGGAGGAGGCUGAGGUCAGAAUGGGAAGAGUUUUUAAAAAAUAAAAAGGGGAGCUAAUAUGUGA